rnacentral:rRNA from 1 species
UACGAAGGGGGCUAGCGUUGCUCGGAAUUACUGGGCGUAAAGCGCACGUAGGCGGCUUUCUAAGUCGGGGGUGAAAUCCUGGAGCUCAACUCCAGAACUGCCUUUGAUACUGAGAGUCUUGAGUAUGACAGAGGUGAGUGGAACUGCGAGUGUAGAGGUGAAAUUCGUAGAUAUUCGCAAGAACACCAGUGGCGAAGGCGGCUCACUGGGUCAUUACUGACGCUGAGGCACGAAAGCGUGGGGAGCAAACAGG